rnacentral:rRNA from 1 species
AGAAUCAACGCUGGCGGCGUGCCUAACACAUGCAAGUCGAACGAGAAAGUGGAGCAAUCCAUGAGUAAAGUGGCGACCGGGUGAGUAACACGUGACCAAUCUACCCUUGAGUGGGGGAUAACCUCGGGAAACCGGGGCUAAUACCGCAUAACAUCCUUGGAUCGGAAGACCUGGGGAUCAAAGGAGCAAUUCGCUUAAGGAGGAGGUCGCGGCUGAUUAGCUAGUUGGCGGGGUAAUGGCCCACCAAGGCAAAGAUCGGUAGCCGGCCUGAGAGGGCGCACGGCCACACUGGAACUGAAACACGGUCCAGACUCCUACGGGAGGCAGCAGUGGGGAAUUUUGCGCAAUGGGGGAAACCCUGACGCAGCAACGCCGCGUGGAGGAUGAAGUCCCUUGGGACGUAAACUCCUUUCGACCCGGACGAUAAUGACGGUACGGGUGGAAGAAGCCCCGGCUAACUUCGCGCCAGCAGCCGC